rnacentral:rRNA from 1 species
UACGUAGGCAGCGAGCGUUGUUCGGAAUUACUGGGUGUAAAGGGUUCGUAGGCGGUGCGGUAAGUCGGGUGUGAAAUCUCGGAGCUUAACUCCGAAACUGCAUUCGAUACUGCCGUGCUUGAGGACUGGAGAGGAGACUGGAAUUUACGGUGUAGCGGUGAAAUGCGUAGAUAUCGUAAGGAAGACCAGUGGCGAAGGCGGGUCUCUGGACAGUUCCUGACGCUGAGGCACGAAGGUCAGGGGAGCAAACGGG